GUAAGUAUGGUUGUGUGUACAUGCAAAUGUAUAUGCAAAUGUACAUGCAAAUGUACAUGCAAAUGUAUAUGCAAAUAGCUUCGUUCACACUGAUGG
rnacentral:miRNA from 1 species